rnacentral:rRNA from 1 species
AGUGAACGCUGGCGGUAGGCCUAACACAUGCAAGUCGAACGGCAGCACAGUAAGAUCUUGCUCUUACGGGUGGCGAGUGGCGGACGGGUGAGGAAUACAUCGGAAUCUACUUUUUCGUGGGGGAUAACGUAGGGAAACUUACGCUAAUACCGCAUACGACCUACGGGUGAAAGCAGUGGAUCUUCGGACCUUGCGCGAUUGAAUGAGCCGAUGUCGGAUUAGCUAGUUGGCGGGGUAAAGGCCCACCAAGGCGAGGAUCCGUAGCUGGUCUGAGAGGAUGAUAGGCCACACUGGAACUGAGACACGGUCAAGACUCCUACGGGAGGCAGCAGUGGGGAAUAUUGGACAAUGGGCGCAAGCCUGAUCCAGCCAUACCGCGUGGGUGAAGAAGGCCUUCGGGUUGUAAAGCCCUUUUGUUGGGAAAGAAAAGCAGCAGGUUAAUACCCCGCUGUUCUGACGGUAACCAAAGAAUAAGCACCGGCUAACUUCGUG